ACUUUCUGAUGUCCAUCCUGUACUAUUAUAGUUACCACAUAUUACAGUUGAUUAUGUAGUUAUUUCUAGAGUUGUAGUGGUUGUCAGAAAAUACUCGUGCUAUUGUGGCCAACACGAUAUACCCUCUCUUUUACACAUCCACAACUGCUCACAUCUGUCUCUUAUAAUUACCUGUUCUUACAUGCAACCUUGUAAGUUAACAUUUGAGUUCAUUUAUGUUUCCAAGAACGUUUUUGUACCUUUGGAUAAAAUUUAGACUAUACAUGUCUGUUUCUUAUAUUUUUAUUUGGUUAAUUUGUUACUUUAAGUAGGAUGAAAUCAUGAAUGAUUGUUUUGUAUUUUUGAAUCGUAUCCAUCUUUUAGUUUAAAUAUAUCAUGGGAUCAUGGAGCAGUGCCAUAUAUAAAUAUGGGGAAAAUUGUCAGGAAUACCUUACAAGUCUUUUAAAAAUAAAUAAAUAAAAACUGGUAGUGAGUUUUGACACUAACUAGAGGAGAGAACAAAAGCACCCAGGUUAUCCUAGGACUCGAAAUUGAGUAGACACAGUAUUUACCUAUGCUUUUUUUUCUCAUUAUUUCUUCAGUUGGCAACAAUAUUUACUUUGGCUUGCGGUUUGCAUAUAUGUUGUGAUAUUCUCCCAUCAUGUUAUACUAUCUCUUAAAUAACCAAUGUCUGAAUUUCUAAUUCAAAAUUGCCCACUGAUUUCAGGUUUUCCCAUAUGCAACACAGUUUGUAUAGCUACUUGAGAUAUCUAGGUCCAAGCAAUGUCACAGUGAGCUAUCAACAACUGAGUCGUCAGAAUCCAUCGACAAUGGCUAAGACGUUGUCCAGUACAAAAUUGAUCGUAUGUCCAAGCGGUCUAUCAAUAUUAUGUAGUUUGGUAUUCCCACCAAGGUAUUCAGUUAGCGAUCCUCUCCUCAGUGGAAUGCCCUCAGGUUACAGGAAAGUAGAAUAUCUUGAACACUUUAUCAUAGCUUUCCAUUAACUACAUGUGAUAGUCUUUUUCAGCUUCAAGUUGCAUUUGUCUUGGGAAAUAGUUAUUUCAAAACAUGAGAAGUGAUAAGCGUAAAGAAUUCAUGAUCAUAAAAAAGAAAAUUUUGGUUUGUGUCUGUUGACCAGCAGCAGUGUUCAUAUAUUGCCACCGAGCAACAGGUGGGGGCACGCCAAAUAAAAGGUGUUUAAUGCAGUCUACUCAAUGAUAGAGUCAACUGAUCACUUAUGUAAUAGUUCUCAUUGGACAGGUGUUUCCUCAGUAUAUCCUUUUUCUAGUGUGUUAUUAGUUUAACCUUUCAGUGUUCUGUUGGGUGAUAUCUUUCCUCAUUCCUCGUUUUAGAGUUCCAAGCUAUUUCAUAAAUAUUUUGCUGAAUUUACACUUGGCAACUAUAUAAUGUAACAAGCCUAUACAAUAGCGCUGCCGAUACCAUUUGUUUUUUUUAGCUGAUUGCAUUUGUUUGUUAUGCUUUGUUUGAUUUGGCGUUACUCAGGCAAAGAUAUGCCGUUGCCUAACAAAAUUAGGAGGAACUCGGCAGCUGCAUGUUACAUUUUUAAGGGACAGAUUGAUACACGUUUCAAGGUUAUGGAUAUGAUUGGAAUGAAGCUUUCUACUUGAACCAAAUUAAGACGGUUCAGCCCAGGAGUUCGGCAACUUUCAAGAGGAAGAUUUUGAAGGUCCUGUGCAACACUUCGACGAAGG